AGUGUAGGUUGCAUUAAUAACCGGGUGUUGCUACAUGAAAUGCUGUGGUUGUAUAACAUAUAUGUAUUGCUAUUUUGUGUACUUUUCUUCGGGUAUUUUUGUAAUAAUUUUUCAUAUCAUACUUCUCGCUUAAGAUAGAAAAUUAUUGUUAGGAAUUAAGGACACAUUUGACGUUGUCAAUGUAAUCAUUAGCGACGUUAUAGGCAAAAUAUCGGUAAAAAGAUUACCAAUGGUGUUUCAAACCCGAUGAUGUUUGUUGGAUACAUCUUAUUGAAGGGCUGUCGCACUUUUGAUGCAAUCAUAGAUAAGAAACAUCCUCUCAUCUGCAAAACCAUCUAUUAUCUAUAAACAAGGUUGUAAUUCCAUUCAAUAAAUUAAGAUUUUAGCUGGUCUGUUUAUUAUCGUUGUUUAAUAUGAAGUUGUUAUUUAGAGAUUAUACUAUUACAUAGCUUUACAUCUGAUUAUGUAAUCUAACUGAAGUUAAGUUGAUAAUAUACAAUGACACUUAUAUGAUUCUACCUCAGAGGUAUUGUCUGUAUUUCGGACUAAUAUAGUUGAUUAUUGUUACAUUCCAAUCAGUGAAACAAAGUUUAUGAUGUAAAGGAUAUUUCAGGCGAUAAUUAAGUUGC
rnacentral:lncRNA from 1 species